rnacentral:rRNA from 1 species
UGGGGAAUAUUGGACAAUGGGCGCAAGCCUGAUCCAGCCAUGCCGCGUGAGUGAUGAAGGCUCUAGGGUUGUAAAGCUCUUUCACCGGUGAAUAUAAUGACGGUAACCGGAGAAGAAGCCCCGGCUAACUUCGUGCCAGCAGCCGCGGUAAUACGAAGGGGGCUAGCGUUGUUCGGAUUUACUGGGCGUAAAGCGCACGUAGGCGGACUUUUAAGUCAGGGGUGAAAUCCCGGGGCUCAACCCCGGAACUGCCUUUGAUACUGGAAGUCUUGAGUAUGGUAGAGGUGAGUGGAAUUCCGAGUGUAGAGGUGAAAUUCGUAGAUAUUCGGAGGAACACCAGUGGCGAAGGCGGCUCACUGGACCAUUACUGACGCUGAGGUGCGAAAGCGUGGGGAGCAAACAGG